AGUACCGUGAGGGAAAGGCGAAAAGAACCCCGGCGAGGGGAGUGAAAAAGAACCUGAAACCGUGUACGUACAAGCAGUGGGAGCCUCUUAAUGGGGUGACUGCGUACCUUUUGUAUAAUGGGUCAGCGACUUAUAUUCUGUAGCAAGGUUAACCGAAUAGGGGAGCCGAAGGGAAACCGAGUCUUAACUGGGCGUUAAGUUGCAGGGUAUAGACCCGAAACCCGGUGAUCUAGCCAUGGGCAGGUUGAAGGUUGGGUAACACUAACUGGAGGACCGAACCGACUAAUGUUGAAAAAUUAGCGGAUGACUUGUGGCUGGGGGUGAAAGGCCAAUCAAACCGGGAGAUAGCUGGUUCUCCCCGAAAGCUAUUUAGGUAGCGCCUCGUGAAUUCAUCUCCGGGGGUAGAGCACUGUUUCGGCAAGGGGGUCAUCCCGACUUACCAACCCGAUGCAAACUGCGAAUACCGGAGAAUGUUAUCACGGGAGACACACGGCGGGUGCUAACGUCCGUCGUGAAGAGGGAAACAACCCAGACCGCCAGCUAAGGUCCCAAAGUCAUGGUUAAGUGGGAAACGAUGUGGGAAGGCCCAGACAGCCAGGAUGUUGGCUUAGAAGCAGCCAUCAUUUAAAGAAAGCGUAAUAGCUCACUGGUCGAGUCGGCCUGCGCGGAAGAUGUAACGGGGCUAAACCAUGCACCGAAGCUGCGGCAGCGACACUAUGUGUUGUUGGGUAGGGGAGCGUUCUGUAAGCCUGUGAAGGUGGCCUGUGAGGGUUGCUGGAGGUAUCAGAAGUGCGAAUGCUGACAUAAGUAACGAUAAAGCGGGUGAAAAGCCCGCUCGCCGGAAGACCAAGGGUUCCUGUCCAACGUUAAUCGGGGCAGGGUGAGUCGACCCCUAAGGCGAGGCCGAAAGGCGUAGUCGAUGGGAAACAGGUUAAUAUUCCUGUACUUGGUGUUACUGCGAAGGGGGGACGGAGAAGGCUAUGUUGGCCGGGCGACGGUUGUCCCGGUUUAAGCGUGUAGGCUGGUUUUCCAGGCAAAUCCGGAAAACCAAGGCUGAGGCGUGAUGACGAGGCACUACGGUGCUGAAGUGACAAAUGCCCUGCUUCCAGGAAAAGCCUCUAAGCAUCAGGUAACAUCAAAUCGUACCCCAAACCGACACAGGUGGUCAGGUAGAGAAUACCAAGGCGCUUGAGAGAACUCGGGUGAAGGAACUAGGCAAAAUGGUGCCGUAACUUCGGGAGAAGGCACGCUGAUAUGUAGGUGAAGCGACUUGCUCGUGGAGCUGAAAUCAGUCGAAGAUACCAGCUGGCUGCAACUGUUUAUUAAAAACACAGCACUGUGCAAACACGAAAGUGGACGUAUACGGUGUGACGCCUGCCCGGUGCCGGAAGGUUAAUUGAUGGGGUUAGCGGUAACGCGAAGCUCUUGAUCGAAGCCCCGGUAAACGGCGGCCGUAACUAUAACGGUCCUAAGGUAGCGAAAUUCCUUGUCGGGUAAGUUCCGACCUGCACGAAUGGCGUAAUGAUGGCCAGGCUGUCUCCACCCGAGACUCAGUGAAAUUGAACUCGCUGUGAAGAUGCAGUGUACCCGCGGCAAGACGGAAAGACCCCGUGAACCUUUACUAUAGCUUGACACUGAACAUUGAGCCUUGAUGUGUAGGAUAGGUGGGAGGCUUUGAAGUGUGGACGCCAGUCUGCAUGGAGCCGACCUUGAAAUACCACCCUUUAAUGUUUGAUGUUCUAACGUUGGCCCGUAAUCCGGGUUGCGGACAGUGUCUGGUGGGUAGUUUGACUGGGGCGGUCUCCUCCUAAAGAGUAACGGAGGAGCACGAAGGUUGGCUAAUCCUGGUCGGACAUCAGGAGGUUAGUGCAAUGGCAUAAGCCAGCUUGACUGCGAGCGUGACGGCGCGAGCAGGUGCGAAAGCAGGUCAUAGUGAUCCGGUGGUUCUGAAUGGAAGGGCCAUCGCUCAACGGAUAAAAGGUACUCCGGGGAUAACAGGCUGAUACCGCCCAAGAGUUCAUAUCGACGGCGGUGUUUGGCACCUCGAUGUCGGCUCAUCACAUCCUGGGGCUGAAGUAGGUCCCAAGGGUAUGGCUGUUCGCCAUUUAAAGUGGUACGCGAGCUGGGUUUAGAACGUCGUGAGACAGUUCGGUCCCUAUCUGCCGUGGGCGCUGGAGAACUGAGGGGGGCUGCUCCUAGUACGAGAGGACCGGAGUGGACGCAUCACUGGUGUUCGGGUUGUCAUGCCAAUGGCACUGCCCGGUAGCUAAAUGCGGAAGAGAUAAGUGCUGAAAGCAUCUAAGCACGAAACUUGCCCCGAGAUGAGUUCUCCCUGAGACUUAGAGUCUCCUGAAGGAACGUUGAAGACGACGACGUUGAUAGGCCGGGUGUGUAAGCGCAGCGAUGCGUUGAGCUAACCGGUACUAAUGAACCGUGAGGCUUAACCUU
rnacentral:rRNA from 1 species